AUCCUAUAAUGAGGACACUUAUGAAGUAAUUCUUUGAAUCUUUCCCACGCCUCAUACAAGGACUGAUCAUCCAAUUGUGAAAAAGUGGUUAUCUCAUUUCACAACUU
rfam:Gossypium arboreum cultivar AKA8401 contig_57122_1, whole genome shotgun sequence.